rnacentral:rRNA from 1 species
GACGGAGAAUGCAAGUGUUAUCCGGAAUCACUGGGCGUAAAGCGUCUGUAGGUGGUUCAAUAAGUCAACUGUUAAAUCUUGAGGCUCAACUUCAAAAUCGCAGUCGAAACUAUUGGACUCGAGUAUAGUAGGGGUAAAGGGAAUUUCCAGUGGAGCGGUGAAAUGCGUAGAGAUUGGAAAGAACACCGAUGGCGAAGGCACUUUACUGGGCUAUUACUAACACUCAGAGACGAAAGCUAGGGUAGCAAAUGGG